rnacentral:misc_RNA from 1 species
CGUCUUCUCUCUGCCCCUGUCGCUGCGCUUCUCCUCUGUCGUCGGCGUUCAACAACACGCGUGCGCGCCACACAUAGCCGCUUAAUACGGCUUCCACCACCACAGCAGCCCACGCAUCGUUAGCAUCCGCGGUGGUGGCAAGGCGCCUGCGCGUGCCCCCCCCCCCCCCCCCCCCCGGCUUCCAAGCAGACAUCUGUGCAUAGGUGUACGCGCGCACUGACACACGUGUGCGGGAGAGUAUGUGUUCAAUCUGUCCACGUGCAGAUGCUCUGACUCCAAGUCCUUCUUGCUUCCAUUCCUUCGUACCAUUACAAGCUCUCAUCGAAACCUCAAGCCCCGGGCCACCUGCAAGCACGGCCCUCAUCGCGCCGGAUAGAUACAAACACACAUACAGGCAACCUUCUACAGCAUUCGCACACCGCCCGACUUCAGCGCGGCGCUUUCUUCUGCCUUUCUCUGUUGUGCUUUCUGCGCUUAGUGGUCUGAGCACUGCCGCAGCAGCGACUAUCCUGCGACCACUCAAGAGUCCGCCUCAGUGUCCAUUGCUUGCGCGUGGACUUUGGUCUGUGCACGUGUGUCGUGCUCUGAUUGCCUCCUCGUCCCAGUCUAGAUUCUUCUGCCGUCGACCGCGUGAAACAGCUAGCGUACAUCUGCACACAUACAUACCUAUACAUCUCUCUCUCUACAUGUAUGUAUAUAUGUGUGUGCAUUUAUAGAUAUAUAUAUAUAUAUAUCUGCGUACAUAUCUAUAUGUGUGUGUGUGUAGAUAUAUUCGUGCGUUGACGCCUUGCUCCCACUUGUAUAAUAGCUUGUGGCCCUCCUCCUUUUCCCUGCCUCUCCGUCACUCUCUGUGUGUGGCUGCCGGCGCCCUGACGCAGAUGUACCGAAGGGAGAGCAGCGAGCGACUGUGCGGCACCGCCUUCGACUCCCACGCAGCAUCCCCUUAUCAUACAGAUACAUCGUUGCCACACCACGUGUACAGCGAAACUGGGGAGUCGCACGAAAGCCGCGGCCAAGGCCAAGGGCGCUGCGAAGAAGAGGUCAGUAUUCAGCGCGGAGAAGAGGAAGACACAUCCCGGCUUGCAUCCACGCAGAGCUACGGAGAGGGCUCCUCCAUGAGCGCCGCGACUUUUGCGCGUUCCGGCGGCGCCGCACCCGCGAGCGCGCAGGUGGAGGGGUCUGUGUACACCCCGCAUCGCACCUCGCCACAUGUGUCCGUUGCGCUGCCUUCCUCUGUUGGCUCCUCCAUCCGCUUGCCAGCAUCGCCGGCGGGCUGCCUGAGACCCUCUUCAUCAAUCGCGGGGGACGCUGCUUCUAAUCCAACGGCGGCGGCGGCGGGAGGUGGGCGCGCUACGACUUCUCACCCUCUGCCUGUUGUACUAGACGUGAAAGUCAUAGAGACAGACGUGGUUGACCCUCCGUUCCCGAGCGAGAUUCAGUGCCGCAUUUGCGGGCUGUCCGUUCUUCGAAGCGACUGGGAGGCGCAUCAGGCCACAACGCUGCAUCAGCGGCGACUGCGCGAGUGUGCUACCGCAUGCGGCAGCUGCAGCAGCUCCUCGUCUCGCCCGCUGACAGUGGUGGUGCAAGGUAGCAGCACAAGCCAGCCGGCGGCCGCCGCGGGCUUCAGGGGUUUGCGGGGACCAGUGACUUCUAGGGACGCGCAGAAGGCUUCAUCCUCAGUGACACCUUCUGCGCGUGCGCUGGCACUGAGUAGGGAGAACCCCCAAGAACGCAGCCAAGCCGCCGCAGCGGUGGAGAGGCGGCCAUCUUGUCGCCCAUAUCCAUCUCGUCGCGAGCUGGACUCAGCCAGCUCCGACACUGCCUCGCCCAUGUACAGUACUAGCAGCAGCUCCACGAGCAGCAGCAGCAGCAGUCGUACAAGGAGUAUUAGCAGUGUUAGCGCGGGCAGCACCUGUAGCAGAAGUGCAGAGUCGGAAGGCAGCGCCGCACGCGGCCAUUCUAACGUCAGCGCUGUCCCCCACGCCACCACUCCUCGACCAACUAGGCAACUUCCCACCCCCGCUGCGCCCAGCAGUCCCACGCCGUCUUUCGUGCUACCGCCUGUCUCUCCUCCGCGCUUCUCCGCGGCAUCGUCUGCGUCCGCUGCCGCGUGCCCCGCUUCCCUGCUGGUGAAGACGCGUGGGUCAGACGAAGCGGCAGCCGCCGUGCGCUGCGUGGAGUUCCCGGAGGAGGAGCAAGAGCGGCGGCGCGUCAGAAAGCUAGAGAAACAGCUGAGCUCAUGCCUCUCUCGUCACGAGCACAAGGUGCUGGCAGCGUGCAUGCGACGGUGGUAUGAGGCGAUGUUCACCAAGGCAACCGCGCCUAUUACCGACUCAGAUCGGCCAAAGCGAGGGGGUGGCACAGUAGUCGUGGCCGGUGCUCCCUGCUCACCGGGGGGCUGCACUGGGACAUCGCUGUCCCCGGAAACGGUCAGAGCCCACCGCAUCGCGGUCAACUCUCCAUCGCCGCCGCCGGUCUCGGAAAUGGCGCUUGACAACGUCGAUUCCGCGCCAUACGAGCAGGGCGUGUCGUCUGCCCCACUCAACUCCACGAGUCCGGCAGUCUCGGCAGCCGCGACCGGUGCGGCGUUCCGGAGUCACGACCAGGACAAUCGCUCGCGCGACGUAGCGGAGGAAAGAGCCGAUGAGGGCGAUGGAGGAUCCCUCGCCCGGCGCAGCAACACCCAGCAGCCAGCGUCACCGAGCGGUUCCAUGCCGCACUGCGGUGAGGACAUGCAGAUGAACCGUCUAGCAGCUGUCGGUGUGAAGUGCGCUGCUUCUCGAGUUGUAGACGCGAACCCGAUACACACUGAGCACGCCGGCGUGCUGAUGACCCGUGGAGAGGCCGUGUCCCCACCUACGCCGUUUUUCACAACCUGCGUCAAGUCCUACGCGCGCGUUCAUGUCACUGCGGACGGCUAUGUCUCUCCAGCGGAAGCUCGCCGUGGCUCGAGGGGUGGCAGCGCAGAGAGCGAGGCGCAAGAUUUGGAGGUGAUGCAGACGAAGGUGAGCUGGGUGGUCCGGCCGGCGAGUCGACCGUCCGCAGCGCGCCGUUCCAGCUCCGAUUCCUCGGAUAGCACCUCUGCCCGAAGAGACUGGAGGGGCGCUGUUGGUUGCAGCGGUGCCGCAGUAGAUGCUGCGGCUGCAGCUGCUGCUGCGCGCGGGAGCACAUGUGAUCCCUCGCAGCCUCCUGCUAACUCGCCAGGCGUAGAGGCCGCGUGGGGGCAAGCGAGGGGCAAGGGUGCGGGGCGGCACGGCGGUAGCCGAGCUCAGCUUCACCACGCCGCAAAGGGUGAGCGCGGCACUGUGUCUGGUGGGCGGCCCCAUCUGCUGCAACCGCAUUUGGCAGCUCCUAGCAACGUUGCUGGAUACGGCAGGUAUGCAGACGAUGACGGGGGCGUGGGUGCGCAUGCCGUCGGCGAUGCAGCGGCGUCGGAGGAGCCGCCCGCGCCGAGGCGCCGUCGGCACCGCAAGAAGCACCACCACAGCGGCAAGACCAAAGCGGAGGAGUGGAGGUCUAUGUCAAGGAAGAAACGCCGCGGUGACAGUGGCGACGAGAGAGCCGAGGCCGACUGCGCGUCACGGCGCACUCAGACACCAUAUGAGGAGGAAGCCCAUGCCAGUGCCGUGCACCAGCCUCCGCACUCGGCGGAUGCCUCAGCGACGGAGACGACCAGUGCUGUGAGCGCCAUACUUUACCCAGGAGACAAGGGCGGCGGCUGCGACAGCGUGGAGCGGACCGGCGAGGAGCGACACCGCCGCAAGGGUACGGGUGACAGGAGGGAGGGGAGGAGGGAGUCUGGCCGGCCCUAUUCAAGUGGCUCUGCUGCUAAGGCUGCGACCCCCAUCCCAUCUGGCGAGGCGGACACGAGCACCGUGGAGGACGAAGGGGCGUUGCGCGAGCCGUCACCGCUGGCCUCCGAGGCUGCGGGAAGAAGGCACGCAGUUUCGGCGCGGCUGGCGGUGCCACAAUGCAAUCGAUCGAGCACGCUGGAUGAAGCAUCGCCGAGGCAGUCAUCGCACGCACCACCACCAAAAGCAGCGGCGUCAAAGAGAGAUCCGUUUAGCCACGCUGGGGCCCUGAAAGGCGACCACGCUACAGCUGCCUCGCCAUCCUCCUCGAUCGCGCUCACAGGUGCGUCGGGAGAGCGCUCCUCCUCGCUUUCGUCGUCAUCGUUCUCAUCGCCGUCGUCCCUCAGUUACAGCAUCGGUAGUGACAGCGACAUGGCCGAGCUUGUUGCUCGCCUCUCGCCCAGCACCCAACAGCGUGCAUGGCAGCUGCUCCGUCCGGGGAGCGCGGCGUCGCUGCUUGCCCACUCCGUCGAUGUGCCAAAGGCGCCAGCGUGCGUGUCAGACACGCAGCAACACCAUGAGCUCGACCUGGCAGCAACGAUCAUGUCUGCAACGCAGACGCUGACCAACGCCUUCAUUGCAGGGCAGGGCAACCCAGCAGCUCAGACAGAGGAGGAAGAGCAGGUCCGGCUCGGGCACCUGCCCGCUUUUCCACUCUCUGCUUUGGCAUCUCUGACGCCACAGGAUGUGCGCAGCCGCGGCGCGGCGACGGCAACGAUGCCCAUGGCCGAUAUUCUGUCCGGCGUCUUGACCGGGGUGCCAGGCGGAGACAGUGGUCACGCGGCUGCCUCAGAGACCGGCGAGCAGAGCGCCGCACAUGGUUCCAAUCAUCAUCUCUAUCGUAGUCACCCACGUGGUGCGAAUGCGGCCGUGCGGCUUCCCAAGACGCUGCUGGCGUUGCACGUGAUGAGCGCUGGCGCGGCGAGCAGUUCAGUCGUGGCUCCACCUGUGGAUAAGCUCGACGGGCGUGUCUCCGAUUGUGACGGCGAUGCCGCGCAGCCGCCACGGGAGCCGUCGGUGCCCUUUGUUGUGAAUCAGGCAAGUGCUGAGGUAGGGCUGCUGCUGCCAUCGUCGUCUGGCCACCCAUACGAUCUUGGCGGCCCAAUGUGCUGCGGCAGCGGCAGGGGCGGACGCGGGUGUGCCGGCCCUCAUCCCUUCCUUGGCGCGGCGCUCGUUGGGAGAGAGAGCGGUGAUGACAACGAGGAGAUCAGUGUGGCCGGGCUGCCGUCUACAGAGCGCUACGAUGACGUGUACCUUGCCUACGCACACGGGGCGGCAACGUCGUCAACGCACGGCGUAGACGAGGGGCGUGCGCAGCAAAGCAGCGGCGCUCCAGAAGAGCACGCAGCGGUGGGGCAGAGCGGCAACGCUGACGAUGUUCUGUCUCCAUCCUCGAUGCCGCCAACUGGGCUGGGCAUUCUUCAAGUGUCUCGGCGACCCUCUCGUGCCUUGUCCACUGCCGUGAACGAACGCGUCACAGGUGCCCCCGUAGGUGCGUCCUCGGCAGUGCAGCUUCCUCCGUCAUCCUUUUCCACGCAUGCGCUAGUUGAAUCAGGCGUUGCGCAAUCGCCUGACGAGGGACUUAGCCUGCACGCAGUGGAGGUGGCGCAGCGACAUAGUGCCACUGCUAAUGCCGCCGCAGGGCCUGCACGCGACUUGCACGAUGUGCACAACGAAGGAGCCGCAGCAGAGAGGAGGAGUAUGCUUGCGCCUGCUGGUGCUGUGGCUGCUGUCGCCGACGAGGGACGGCGACUGGUAGGUGGCGUUGCACCAACAGCUGUCUAUACAUCACAUGCUGAAGCGGAACGGGCACCGAGCUCGCUCUCAUCCGCUACAGGUAGUGAGCCGACGGCGACGCGAACCGGCGCCGGAGCACUGGUGCCUUUUCGCAUCACCCGUCCACUCCACAAGGCCGUCUCUGACGGCCCUGGCGCGGUGCUGCCGAGUACAAACCGGCUUCUCGCAGCGUCUUCUUUCGCGUUCUCUCGUGGUGGGAUGCGAGCCGCGAACCCGGCAGAUGCCAUAGUGCCAAGCUCAGCGCCAGCGCAGCUGCACCUCGAUCGUUUACGGGGACCGAUGUGGAACAUGGACCAGGCAUCGGAGAGGCGACUUCUUUCGCUUGACCAGCACACCGACACCGUCACCCCCACCACGAGCGCGGCCAUCGAGAGUGGCGGUGAUGCAUCUUCGUGGCCUCUGCGCCCUGCAGAUGGCAGGCACGUUGGGAAGACCGCUAGUGAUACCCCUCACCGUGGUCUUCACCCCACGACGGCUUCUGAGGCGGCAGGCUUCAGCGCAGUCUGGCGCGACGCUGCGGGAGCAUCCGGCACCGCGCUUGUGCGCAUGACCGAGCCGCUGAAUACGCCGCCGUACACUACCGUUGUGCCUUGCUCGAGGGCGGAUGGCGCAGGUGGGUUUCUCUAUGACUUACCCUCUCUGAAGAUUCCAGUGCUGCGCGCCAGAGGUGACCGAGACGGCUUCGACGAAGGCCUGUCUCGGCGCGCUCGCGACCGGCAGCUGAGAGGUACACAUCUGUCGAGGGGGGCCACCGCUCAAGCCGCAGUGGUGACGGGUUCUGGUAAUGUGCCGCUGUUAAUGCCGUAUGCUCUGCUGCCUGCAGCCGAAUGCAUCGAAUCCUCUCCCGAAACCCUCGCGCAGCCUCAGCAGUCGACGAUGGACAACCAUCCUCCCCGCCCGUCUCGGUUGCCGCGUCUGCGGGACGUAGAAGCUUGUAUUUGCAACCUUGCUGGCGACGCCGUCACCCGCAGCCCCACACAGCAUCCCGAGGCAGCCGAGGCGAGCGCACUCUCAGGCGCGCUGGCGCCAGCUUCAGCCGGCACUGCGCACACGGUGAGCUACUUGCCACACGGCGUGAUGCCUACGACACACCCGUAUUGCUAUGCGACCCUCAAGGGAGCUGCUGAUGGUGAGCCCGGCACCAAGCGCGACGAUCGCAUUGCUGAGAGCGAGUCAGUUGUGACGGCCCUGCGAUCGACCUUAGCGGCGCGCACGUCUUUGGGCGCGGGCCUGGAGGACAGCGCGCUGAACCACGCAUCCGCCUCUUCCACUGCAGUGACACCAUUGGUCGAAGCGGCAGAAGCAGGGCUUGGUGCAGCACGCGAUGCCUCUCCGCUGUCCUCGUCGCCGUCCUCGUGCUCGCACGCGAGUCCUGCAGGAGUGCACCCGAACAGACGCCCGUCUCAUCAUCGCCGCCAUUGUGAUGGGUCGGCUGCGUCUCAGGAGAAGAGGAGCGACGAACGAAGGGAGCAUAGAAGGUUGAGGCAGGGAAGCCGCCGCGAUGGCGAUGUCUCAUUGGGACAUCACCGGCAACACCGUCACCAUCGGAGCGGCCGCCGACGCGAGGAAGACAGCAACGACGAAACGCACCGCUGGAAACACCGACGCCAUCAUCGCGCGCAUGCGCAGCACCGCGUGCCGCGACACGGUCGUGAGAGGCCGCAGGCAGAGGACACCGGCGCAACGGCCGCACAACAAGCGCACCUUCCUCUGCUAUAUGCACUCGAGGCGGCCCCGCAGCAGGGCCACGCGGGUGCAGACUGCCGUGACGUGCUGUACGUUGUGCAAGAGGCUGGCAAGCGGCCGCCGUCCGGAGCUCACCCGUCGCACCCAUACCGGGUUGCACUCCCGUCUGCACCAGUGGUGCCGAGCACCUUUGGGCACGAGGCGCUUACGAGAGGCAAAGACCAUUGUGGGCAACCAGCGGCUCCUUGCAGCGUCGACAUGGCACGUGCGGCGAGGCAGCACCGUUCUCAUCGCUGUGGCAGCAGCAGCACACCACACAUCAGAGAUGGCGCAAGCGAUGAGAACGCCGCGCUGAGCAGGCAUCCGCAUCGGCGACCCGGCGAGCGCGAGCGCGCCCGGGGCCACCGACACUGCUGUCGCCGAAUGCCAAGCGCCUCAGUCCUGUCAACGCCCUCAUCGUCGUCGAGGAGCAUUGGCAGCGGCAGCAGCAUGAGUAGCGGCGGUGACAUCGAGGUGGCCAGCGCUGAUUCCCCUCGCCGCGGCCGUGCCGCAGCGUGGGUAAGCGUUCCGCCAAGCACGGCUGAAGACGUAGCCCGAGGCCCAGACAGCGGUGACGUUCCGGGAGAAGGAAAAGAAGAGGUGGGCGCACCAGAGCGCAGCCGAAGCGACGAUGCGGAGCACAGCGUCGAGGCACCGCCGCGGCAGCCGAUGGUGUCAAUCGAGGCAUGGCGGGGAGAACGCAGCGCGCAGCCGCCCUCCGACCUUGAGUGGGGUCCAGCAGCUGAGCACAGUGGGCCCGCAAGAGCGAACGCGUAUGCGCCCGAGAUCAGUAGGCCGUCUGCAAACGCGAAGGCAGGCAUCGGUGCAAGCAGCUAUGACCCUGGGCGCGGAGAAGCUGAUGAUGAUAAAGGGGCCCGCAGCGUCGAUUCCCACCAACCACCGGAACUUGCUGGCAGUAGACGUUUCACUGAGCAGGAAUCGCCCGCAGGGAAUGAAGAUGGCACUCUUCUCUCCCGUGUGUCGCCCGCCGCAGCGCCUGCCGGAUCGGCGUCAGGGAAACACGCGCCUGGCGCACAGUCGCCGUGUAGUGGGGCACACGGGUUGGCUUAUGUGUCCUCCGCGAAACUCGGGCGCCCUCGUCGGCCUUCCGCGGACACCGCGGCGACCGGCAUGGCGAGGGGGAAAGACACCGCGGACGGAGAGCCGGCGCCUCCACAACACGGUGAUCUCCUCCACCGCGACAGCACGACUCGCUUCCACCGCGUCAGCAGCGCGGAGCUGCCAAACGUGUUGGCAGGCGAAGUGCGAUGGCGCACCUCACCUGAACCGUCGCAGAACCCGUCUGGAAGCACACGCCGCCCGCUGUACGUUGUUCACAACCCCGCGUCAUCCGCGUGCGCGAUUACGGGAAGGCAGGCGCGCCGCGCGUGGACAAUCACGAAUCCCACGAACUCCCUCGGCUGCGGCCGUCUCAACCCAUACUGCUCCUCAUGCCGCGCCAAGUACAAUCUCAUGUUUGUUGACCCUCAGAUGCGACCAGUCCAGUGGCCGUCGGCUCAGUGUGCUGAGCUGGAUCAGAUGGGUGACUGCCGCAUCCACAGCGGGUACAUUUUCGGCGGUGGCGACACAGAGUCUAAGCGUGAUGCGAUGCUCGUCCAGCAGCGACUGCGAUCGAAGAGGAUGGCGGCGUGGCCGGAGUUGCCGCACUCCGGCAGAGAUCACCUCAUCGUUCACGAGGAGGAUCUCGAUGGCCCGCUGCGCCAGUUCGCGCCGCCGCCGCAGGGGCACUUUGUUCGCAUCGCGUACGCAGAGGACAUGCGACUUCCCGUUGGCCCGGCGCUUCGUCGUCGAGCGGCGCUGCUCGCAGCGUCGGCCCGCCGGAGCUUCGCCUUUUCGCCAUCAUCAGCGGCGUUCUCACAGCUGCCACGGCACCCCUUUCCAGGUGAUGCGUCCGGCGAUGCACUGCGGUUUAUCACCUCCCCUGCCGGGGAGAGAUUGAACGAUUGCCCACCCGCCUCGAGCGUGCCUUGGUACCCCAGCACCAUACGAAGCGGCACGUGCAGCUACGACAGCUACCUUCGAAACCCGACACGUGACCGCAGCUCUCCUCACAACCAGCGCAAGCGCUGCAGCUCUUGCAAUAUGAAGGACGCCGGCAGUGCAUCCAUCACCCAGCUUGACAAGUUUGCGGACGUGACGGUCGCCGAAAGCCGUCAGCCCCCGCCGCACAGUUAUCCAGCGUUGGAGACGGUGGGGGUCGCGAAGCGACUGGCCGUCACCGACGCCGGCGCUACCGCGAGCGUUUCUGCCGCUACAUCGGGGAUGGCGGCAGAGCCUGCCAGCGUUGCGGCUUUGCGCCAGGAGGAGCGCCGGAUCAAGAAGGCGCUAAAGCAGCUUCUCUGGCGUGACUUGCCACAGCAGCGGGGGACGAUAGAAUGGGAGAACUACCUGCGCUCGCUUAGUGAGGGGCUCCGACAGCAGCCCGGCCUUGCACUCUCGCUUGCGCCUCCGCUUCCUGCGCAGGUGGUGGAGACCGUGCAAGCUUCCCUUACAGACAGCGCAGCCAAAUCAUGACGAUGAUGCCCUACCCAUCACUGCUUGUGUGUGUGGGGGGGGGGAGGAGGAGGCCGACUCGGCCCUCUGACAGCCUUGUUGCUGUUCAGUCUGCUCCGCAGCUGAUCCUUGCGUGCGUCUCUCUUCGCGCGCACAUGUAUGCCUGUCUCUGUGACUGGCUGCUUCGCACUACCCGCAUUUUUUUUUUUGCUGUUGCCACUCCUGCACGCAUGCGCGCUCGCUGAAGUGUAGAUAUAGAUGUACUUGCGUCUGCACGUGUGGAGCGAGAGCACUGGGCUCGCCUUGCUUUCUUUCCUUCCAAUCCUUUAUGCGCCGCAUGGGGCCAUCUCCGAUGUGAGCGCGCCCAUUGCGUCGUCGACUCGUGUCUGCAUCCCCCUCCCCUCUUUCGGGUGUUUUUGUGGCGUAGUCGCACGCGUGUCUUUGACGGCAACACUGCAACCCUCCCCCUCACAUCGCGCAUCCCGCGUUGCUCUUCGCCACAGACGCGUGCCGCUGUUUUCCAUGUGCCUCCCUUAUUCGUUUGUGCACCUCAAAUCGUGUAGUGCCUGUAGUCGAUGCCGCUGCGGAGAAGGUGCGGAAGUGAUAUGCUUGGAUGGGGUGUGUAACAUAUCCAUAGAG